CUCUGACUCCCGUCCUGCGAUGGGUUGCGACGGGGGAACAAUCCCCAAGAGGCAUGAACUGGUGAAGGGGCCGAAGAAGGUUGAGAAGUACAGAUAUGUAAAAACUUAAAAGAAGAAAGACCCUAGAAAAGAAGAGAGACCCUGAUUUGGCAUUUGAAGAAUGGGAAAGAGUGGUGCAGUCUACACAGUGAAGGAAAAAACAAGAAUGGGAAGGAGUGGGACAUGGAAUAUGAUGUCGACAAAGAUGCUGAAUUAGUGGCCCAAUGGAACUAUUGUACUCUAAGUCAGGAAAUAUUAAGACGACCAAUAGUUGCCUGUGAACUUGGCAGACUUUAUAACAAAGAUGCCGUCAUUGAAUUUCUCUUGGACAAAUCUGCAGAAAAGGCUCUUGGGAAGGCAGCAUCUCACAUU
rnacentral:sRNA from 1 species